rnacentral:rRNA from 1 species
CCCAACAGCUAGCCCACCAACACAAUUAACGCCUAUCUAUCUAUACCUUCUCACGUACUAGAGUAAUUUAAGCCAAACCAUUUUACCCCCUUAGUAUGGGCGACAGAAAAGAAACUUACGGAGCAACAGAAAAAGUACCGCAAGGGAACGCUGAAAAAGAAAAUGAAACAACCCAGUAAAGAAACAAAAAGCAGAGACUAUCCCUCGUACCUUUUGCAUCAUGAUUUAGCAAGCAAUAGUCAAGCAAAAAGCAUUUUAGUUUGACCCCCCGAAACCAAGUGAGCUACUCCAAGACAACCUAAAUCCUAGGGUAAACCCGUCUCUGUGGCAAAAGAGUGGGAAGAGCUUUGAGUAGGGGUGACAGACCUACCGAACUUGGUAAUAGCUGGUUGCUUGAGAAACGAAUAGAAGUUCCGCUUCUUAUAUUCUCUCCCCCUCUCGGUCAUCACGGCCCUACCACAGACAAAAGAAAAUAAGAAAGUCAGUCAAAGGAGGUACAGCUCCUUUGAAACAAGAUACAACUUUUUCAGGAGGGUAAAGAUCAUAUUUCACCAAGGUACUUAUGUUUCGGUGGGCCUAAAAGCAGCCAUCCAAUCGGAAAGCGUUAAAGCUCUAACAUCCCUACCUCCCUAAUACUGAUAUCCAAUCUUAACCCCCUAACCGUAUCAAGCUAUCCCAUAAAAACAUGGGAGAAAUUAUGCUAAAAUGAGUAACAAGAGAGUAUGCCUCUCUCCCCGCACACGUGUAAAUCGGGACGGACUCCCCACCGAAACUUAUACGGGCCCAAUUAAAGAGGGCAUUGAAUGAUAGAUACCAUACCAGAAAACUAUCCAAAACCCUACCGUUAAUCCCACACCGGUGUGCUUCCAGGGAAAGGCCAAAAGGGAAAGAAGGAACUCGGCAAACACACUUCAAGCCUCGCCUGUUUACCAAAAACAUCGCCUCUUGUUAAUCCCACAUAAGAGGUCCCGCCUGCCCAGUGACUCCUGGUUAAACGGCCGCGGUAUCCUGACCGUGCGAAGGUAGCGUAAUCACUUGUCCCUUAAAUGAGGACCCGUAUGAAUGGCACGACGAGGGCUUAGCUGUCUCCUUUCCCCGGCCAAUGAAAUUGAUCUUCCCGUGCAGAAGCGGGAAUACUGACAUAAGACGAGAAGACCCUAUGGAGCUUUAGACGCCAGAACAGACCAUGUAAUUACCUUCCCAAUAUGAGUAAAAACAAUUGGAUUCCUGUCUCCCGUCUUUGGUUGGGGCGACCACGGGGAACAAGAAAACCCCCAUGUGGACCGGGAGCACAUAUUUUCUGACUCCUAGAACCAUGAGCAACCGCUCUAAAUUACAGAAUUUCUGACCAAAAAGAUCCGGCAACGCCGAUCAACGAAUCCAGUUACCCUAGGGAUAACAGCGCAAUCCUCUUCAAGAGUCCAUAUCGACAAGAGGGUUUACGACCUCGAUGUUGGAUCAAGACAUCCUAGUGGUGCAGCCGCUACUAAGGGUUCGUUUGU